rnacentral:rRNA from 1 species
AGUGGAUUAGCGGCGGACGGGUGAGUAACACGUGGGUAACCUGCCUCAAAGUGGGGGAUAGCCUUCCGAAAGGAAGAUUAAUACCGCAUAAUAUAAGAGAAUCGCAUGAUUUUCUUAUCAAAGAUUUAUUGCUUUGAGAUGGACCCGCGGCGCAUUAGCUAGUUGGUAAGGUAACGGCUUACCAAGGCAACGAUGCGUAGCCGACCUGAGAGGGUGAUCGGC